rnacentral:rRNA from 1 species
AGAGUUUGAUCCUGGCUCAGGACUAACGCUGGCGGCGUGCCUAACACAUGCAAGUCGAACGGACGUAGCAAUACGUUAGUGGCAGACGGGUGAGUAACACGUAGAUAACGUACCCCUCCGCUGGGGAUAGCCACUGGAAACGGUGGGUAAAACCGAAUAUUCUCCAAUUGCCUCCUGGCAGUUGGAGGAAAACUUUGGUG